rnacentral:misc_RNA from 1 species
UUCUUGGUCUUUGUUGCACCAUCUAAGUCAUCCACUUGAGCCGCCUUUGCCUGACGCUACUCUUGGGAAGCACGACUCUUAGCUUGUUUAACAGCAAUUUUCUGACCUCCAAAGGAUGAACCAUUUUUAGCUCAAUGGCACGGUUAGCAUCUUCUCUAAUAGCAAAUUGAACAAAACCCAAACCACGGUGUUCAGAUGAGCCCUUCUGUGUACCCAUAAAG